GUACACUCCUACGGGAGGCAGCAGUGGGGAAUUUUGGACAAUGGGCGAAAGCCUGAUCCAGCAAUGCCGCGUGAGUGAAGAAGGCCUUCGGGUUGUAAAGCUCUUUUGUCAGGGAAGAAACGGUGAAAGCUAAUAUCUUUUGCUAAUGACGGUACCUGAAGAAUAAGCACCGGCUAACUACGUGCCAGCAGCCGCGGUAAUACGUAGGGUGCAAGCGUUAAUCGGAAUUACUGGGCGUAAAGCGUGCGCAGGCGGUUUUGUAAGUCUGAUGUGAAAUCCCCGGGCUCAACCUGGGAAUUGCAUUGGAGACUGCAAGGCUAGAAUCUGGCAGAGGGGGGUAGAAUUCCACGUGUAGCAGUGAAAUGCGUUGAUAUGUGGAGGAACACCGAUGGCGAAGGCAGCCCCCUGGGUCAAGAUUGACGCUCAUGCACGAAAGCGUGGGGAGCAAACAGGAUUAGAUACCCGGGUAGUCC
rnacentral:rRNA from 1 species